rnacentral:lncRNA from 1 species
UUCCAAGCAGAUGCAUAUGAAUGGGCAGGUUACGCUAAUGGAAUCGUUUUUCAAUUCAACACAGGAGUUGAACUAGAAAAAAAUAUACAUAGUUGCAGGCAAAAUUACUUGUUUUUAAUAAAAUGUAAGUUUGUAACUGGAAUAUAUUUACAUUUAGCUCUGUUUCAGGACGGACGUUUCUCCCCCUCACCUGCACCUCACACUGGGGCAGCAGUUUGACGAUUGUUUUGACCAGCUGAGAUGGCUUUUCUGAAAAGUAGUGGAAGGAAAAUAUUUACCUAGCCCUAGGUUUGCACAGAGGAGCGAUGUUUUUCCUUCUGCAAUCUAAAGGCAACAAAAUGCAAUAAAUAAAUAAAUAAAAUGCGAAGCCCAGACCAUUCACACUGGUGUCUUGGGACACUUCUGUAAAACACUGGGCAUGAACAGGGCACGGGAAGUUCAGGUGCCCAAGGUGGGGAAAGAGUGAAACCAGCACGCCAUUAUGGGGCAAUAGGAGGCAGGUCCCCAAACGUGCACACAGCAGGGCCUCCAAAAAGUGGGCUCCUUCCAGAACCCCGUCCAGGGGACGCCUGGCACCCUCCUGGCAUUUUGGGUGCCCUCGGCCAGCACAGCUCACCGGGUUGGGGGCACCUCUCAGCAGCACCUCCACCAUCCCAGCCAUCCUUAUGGCCCACAGCCCCUCCUCCAGAAGCAAUGAAGCUCUCCAAAUAAUAUCCAGGUUUUUUGUUUGUUUGUUUUUACUAAAAUACAGAGCAACAAGGUUUCAGGAGAAAGAGGAGGGUGAAUGCACAGGGCUUUUCAGCUGCCACUUUAAGAAUAAAGCGGAUUUAAAAGCAGUAUGUAGCAGCAACAAAGCGAGGGAAAUCCCUGCCCCAAAAAAAACUGCAGUUUGGCAGUGCUGUAAGCAAUAAAAACAGGGCUUUAAAAUAGCAAACAGUAUGCAAAUUGAGAAGUCACGUGCAUUGCCAGGCUUUCCUAAAACCGCCUCGACAAAACGCUGCGGUAAGGGGAUGUUAUGCAGGUUGCAAAGUCAGGCUCUGAGAAGCCGGCAGAAUUAAAGGCAAUUUGUGGGGUUGUGGCUCUGCCCCUCGUGCACUGAGGAGUCCCCUCGGCAGAGCCCACCCAGCACACACAGCAGACCCCAUGUAGGGAACGAAGCAGUGCCUCAGCGCUUCCUCCCGCACGGCACCGCACAGCCCCGUACCCCAUUUAUUUUGCACAACUGAGCCGCUCAGAACGGGGAACAUUUAAUUUCCUCGGGGACUCCCAGCUACGGCAUUCAUCACUUCCCCAUGCAGGUGCCUAAGCAGCUUUUAAUUUAGUUCCACGCUAGUUCUGCAAGAUUUAAAAAAAAAUUACAAAAAACGAUCUUUUCUUUAGAAAAAAAGGGGAGCGUUCCCAGGGCCAGGACUUUGAGGAGCCCCCCCCAGCUCUGCUCCCUCUGCUCAUCCCCUCCACAGCUGGACACACAGCCCACACCAGCGCAUUGACUACACCCACAACUGGCUCUUG